rnacentral:rRNA from 1 species
GCAGUCGAACGGUGAAGCCAAGCUUGCUUGGUGGAUCAGUGGCGAACGGGUGAGUAACACGUGAGCAACCUGCCCUGAACUCUGGGAUAAGCGCUGGAAACGGCGUCUAAUACUGGAUAUGAGCUGCGGAGGCAUCUUCGUGGUUGGAAAGAUUUUUCGGUUUGGGAUGGGCUCGCGGCCUAUCAGCUUGUUGGUGAGGUAAUGGCUCACCAAGGCGUCGACGGGUAGCCGGCCUGAGAGGGUGACCGGCCACACUGGGACUGAGACACGGCCCAGACUCCUACGGGAGGCAGCAGUGGGGAAUAUUGCACAAUGGGCGGAAGCCUGAUGCAGCAACGCCGCGUGAGGGAUGACGGCCUUCGGGUUGUAAACCUCUUUUAGCAGGGAAGAAGCGAAAGUGACGGUACCUGCAGAAAAAGCGCCGGCUAACUACGUGCCAGCAGCCGCGGUAAUACGUAGGGCGCAAGCGUUAUCCGGAAUUAUUGGGCGUAAAGAGCUCGUAGGCGGUUUGUCGCGUCUGCUGUGAAAUCUGGGGGCUCAACCCCCAGCCUGCAGUGGGUACGGGCAGACUAGAGUGCGGUAGGGGAGAUUGGAAUUCCUGGUGUAGCGGUGGAAUGCGCAGAUAUCAGGAGGAACACCGAUGGCGAAGGCAGAUCUCUGGGCCGUAACUGACGCUGAGGAGCGAAAGGGUGGGGAGCAAACAGGCUUAGAUACCCUGGUAGUCCACCCCGUAAACGUUGGGAACUAGUUGUGGGGUCCAUUCCACGGAUUCCGUGACGCAGCUAACGCAUUAAGUUCCCCGCCUGGGGAGUACGGCCGCAAGGCUAAAACUCAAAGGAAUUGACGGGGACCCGCACAAGCGGCGGAGCAUGCGGAUUAAUUCGAUGCAACGCGAAGAACCUUACCAAGGCUUGACAUACACGAGAACGCUGCAGAAAUGUAGAACUCUUUGGACACUCGUGAACAGGUGGUGCAUGGUUGUCGUCAGCUCGUGUCGUGAGAUGUUGGGUUAAGUCCCGCAACGAGCGCAACCCUCGUUCUAUGUUGCCAGCACGUAAUGGUGGGAACUCAUGGGAUACUGCCGGGGUCAACUCGGAGGAAGGUGGGGAUGACGUCAAAUCAUCAUGCCCCUUAUGUCUUGGGCUUCACGCAUGCUACAAUGGCCGGUACAAAGGGCUGCAAUACCGCGAGGUGGAGCGAAUCCCAAAAAGCCGGUCCCAGUUCGGAUUGAGGUCUGCAACUCGACCUCAUGAAGUCGGAGUCGCUAGUAAUCGCAGAUCAGCAACGCUGCGGUGAAUACGUUCCCGGGUCUUGUACACACCGCCCGUCAAGUCAUGAAAGUCGGUAACACCUGAAGCCGGUGGCCCAACCCUUGUGGAGGGAGCCGU